UACGUAGGAGGCGAGCGUUGUCCGGAGUUACUGGGCGUAAAGCGCACGCAGGCGGUCAGAUCAGUCUGGAGUGACAGUCUCGGCUUAACCGACGAAGUGUUCUGGAAACUGUCUGACUUGAGGGCUUCAGAGGGACACGGAAUUCCGGGUGGAGUGGUGAAAUGCGUGAGGAGAUCCGGAGGAACACCAAAGGCGAAGGCAGUGUCCCGGGGAGUACCUGACGCUCAGGU
rnacentral:rRNA from 1 species